rnacentral:rRNA from 1 species
CAAGCUACAAAGGGCGCAUGGUGAAUGCCUUGGCAUCAGGAGCCGAUGAAGGACGUGAUAAGCUGCGAUAAGCUUCGGGUAGGCGCACAUAGCCUGAGAUCCGAAGAUCUCCGAAUGAGGAAACUCACAUGGGAAACCCCAUGUAUCAUUAAGUGAAUACAUAGCUUAAUGAAGGUAACCCAGGGAACUGAAACAUCUAAGUACCUGGAGGAAGAGAAAGAAAAAUCGAUUUUCUUAGUAGCGGCGAGCGAAAGGGAAAGAGCCCAAACCGGAAACUUGUUUCCGGGGUUGUGGACAUAGCAUAAAAGUGGAGGCUAUUGUAACUGAAGAGAACUGGAAAGUUCCACCGUAGAAGGUAAUAGUCCUGUAAGUGAAACGAGAAGACCACGAGUUAUGAUCCAGAGUACCACGAGACACGUGAAACCUUGUGGGAAGCAGGGAGGACCACCUCCCAAGGCUAAAUACUACCUGAUGACCGAUAGUGAAGCAGUACCGUGAGGGAAAGGUGAAAAGAACCCCGGGAGGGGAGUGAAAUAGAACCUGAAACCGUGUGCCUACAACCGCUCAGAGCCCCUUAUGAGGGUGAUGAGGUGCUUUUUGUAGAACGAGCCAACGAGUUACGGUAUGUAGCAAGGUUAAGUACUUAAGGUACGGAGCCGAAGGGAAACCGAGUCUGAAUAGGGCGACU